AUUAAAUGAUGAGAAGUUUUGUUAUUAGUUUAGAAAAAGAAGCAAGUGGUUAAAAAUGUAUUAGAUUAAGUAUUCAAAAUAUGAUCACAAAGUAAAAUAUGUAUGCUCUAUGUUUUUCUACCAUUUAUUAAUUAAUAAAAUAGCACUUAAGGUGGCUCGGGCCUAUUCGAAGUUUCUAUCAGAAGUGCCGUAUUUUUUGUUAUUUUAUUUUUUACAGAAAGUGAUUCAAAUUGGUUGAAACAAAA
rnacentral:lncRNA from 1 species